CGUGCCACCACCGACUUUCUUUUUCCCGCUCUCCCCAUUUCCCGCCUCCACCCUUUCUUGAACGGAACCCUAGCCUCAUUUCUCCUCCUCCACCUCCGAUGGCGGAGAGAUCGGAGAUUAGAGUACGGUCCCUUUCGUUGGUGACCGGUGCGAUGGUCACGGUGAACACGCGCAACCAGGCGCUCGGCCUCGCCAACUUCUCCGACAGUUGCGCGUGCGAUUUUCGGAUGUUCUUGCAUCCAGGAUCGAGCCGCGUUCUUGCAUUAGUGAGCGAACUCAUGGCCCAUAUGAGCUUGUAAAGGAAAGCUUCAGAUGUUAAGAUGGUCAUAUUGCUUUGGAUCCCAUCCGCGUUGGAUUACAUAAGCUUCUGCUAAUGACAUUAUAUCUCCAUACAGAUUUGUCCCACCUGAUAAUUUAAGCUGGCGUUUCUUGUGUUGGAGUUGAAUCCUAUAGGAAGAAGAGUCAUAGAAAUGGCGAAGAAGCUCAUGAUCCAUGUCCCAAGGUAAAGUCCACUGCUCAAACCCAGGAGUCUGAUCUCUCCCAUGUUUUUUGUCUAUAGGUGAGUGUGACUCUUACUUGUUUUCUGUUUCAUUGUGCUGUUUUUAUUUAGUUUUUUCUGUACUUCAAAUCAUUUCACAGAAUGUUUUAAAAUAAUUAUCCAAUGGAUGUCUUUG